rnacentral:snoRNA from 1 species
AACGCCCUCCGCAGUAGGAUCAUUUCUAUAGGAAUCGUCACUCUUUGACUCUUCAAAUGAGCCACUGAAUCCAACUUGGUUGAUGAAUAAUUUAGCCUUUGCACCCUAGAGUGAGAAACGAUGAAGUAGCUUGGUCCACAACCCUUAGAGGUUUGGCCAUCUGCCAUUUGUUGCCUUCAAUUUACCUUAGGCGCGAUGAUCUUGGCCCAUUCUCAUUGCCCUUCGGGGCAUUUGUUUGGACGGGUGUAAACGGCAAUCUGACAAGU